AGAGUUUGAUCCUGGCUCAGAACGAACGCUGGCGGCGUGGAUAAGACAUGCAAGUCGAGCGCUGAUUUGAGGGUAGUAAUAUUUUCAAGUCGGAGCGGCGCAAGGGUGCGUAACACGUGGGCAAUCUGCCGUGAAGCCUGGAAUAACUCGCUGAAAGGCGAGCUAAUGCCGGAUGUGAAUGUUGGGGGGCCUCUCCUGACAUUCAAAGCUGGGGACCGCAAGGCCUGGCACUUUACGAUGAGCCCGCGGCCUAUCAGCUAGUUGGUGAGGUAACGGCUCACCAAGGCUAAGACGGGUAGCUGGUCUGAGAGGACGACCAGCCACACUGGAACUGAGACACGGUCCAGACACCUACGGGUGGCAGCAGUCGAGAAUUUUUCUCAGUGGGCGAAAGCCUGAAGGAGCGACGCCGCGUGGGGGAUGAAUGGCUUCGGCCCGUAAACCCCUGUCAUUUGCGAACAAAUUGCUUCACCUAACACGUGAAGCAUUGAUAGUAGCGGAAGAGGAAGGGACGGCUAACUCUGUGCCAGCAGCCGCGGUAAUACAGAGGUCCCAAGCGUUGUUCGGAUUCACUGGGCGUAAAGGGUGCGUAGGCGGCCGGGUAAGUCUGAUGUGAAAUCCCGCAGCUCAACUGCGGAACGGCAUUGGAUACUAUCCGGCUCGAGGGGUGGAGGGGAGACUGGAAUACUUGGUGUAGCAGUGAAAUGCGUAGAUAUCAAGUGGAACACCAGUGGCGAAGGCGAGUCUCUGGACACCUCCUGACGCUGAGGCACGAAAGCCAGGGGAGCAAA
rnacentral:rRNA from 1 species